AACGAACGCUGGCGGCAGGCUUAACACAUGCAAGUCGAGCGGGCGCUUUCGGGCGUCAGCGGCGGACGGGUUAGUAACGCGUGGGAACGUGCCCUUUGCUCUGGAAUAGCCCUGGGAAACCGGGGGUAAUACCGGAUGUGCCCUGAGGGGGAAAGGUUUUACCGUCAAGGGAUCGGCCCGCGUCUGAUUAGGUGGUUGGUGUGGUAACGGCGCACCAAGCCGACGAGCGGUAGCUGGUUUGAGAGGAUGAUCAGCGACACUGGGACUGCGACACGGCCCGGACUCCCACGGGAGGCAGCAGUGGGGAAUCUUGGACGAUGGGCGAAAGCCUGAUCUAGCCAUGCCGCGUGGGUGAUGAAGGCCUUAGGGUCGUAAAGCCCUUGCGCCGGGGAAGAUAAUGACGGUACCCGGUAAAGAAACCCCGGCUAACUCCGUGCCAGCCGCCGCCGUAA
rnacentral:rRNA from 1 species